rnacentral:rRNA from 1 species
UCAGGCCUAACACAUGCAAGUCGAACGGUAACAGGAAGAAGCUUCGCUUCUUUCGCUGACGAGUGGCGGACGGGUGAGUAAUGUCUGGGAAACUGCCUGAUGGAGGGGGAUAACUACUGGAAACGGUAGCUAAUACCGCAUAACGUCGCAAGACCAAAGAGGGGGACCUUCGGGCCUCUUGCCAUCGGAUGUGCCCAGAUGGGAUUAGCUAGUAGGUGGGGUAACGGCUCACCUAGGCGACGAUCCCUAGCUGGUCUGAGAGGAUGACCAGCCACACUGGAACUGAGACACGGUCCAGACUCCUACGGGA